GCAGCCGCCGCGGGAAAACGUAGGGUGCAAGCGUUAAUCGGAAUUACUGGGCGUAAAGCGUGCGCAGGCGGUUCUAUAAGACAGAUGUGAAAUCCCCGGGCUCAACCUGGGAACUGCAUUUGUGACUGUAGAGCUGGAGUGCGGCAGAGGGGGAUGGAAUUCCGCGUGUAGCAGUGAAAUGCGUAGAUAUGCGGAGGAACACCGAUGGCGAAGGCAAUCCCCUGGGCCUGCACUGACGCUCAUGCACGAAAGCGUGGGGAGCAAACAGGAUUAGAGACCCGCGUAGUCCCUGUCUCUUAUAC
rnacentral:rRNA from 1 species